GUGAAAAGUUGAUGCCUGGAAAUUCGGGCUUUCUCGAUUUCUCUUUUCUUCUCCUCCCUUCUUUCUUUCUGAGGCUCCCUUUUCUCUAGUUGUGGGGGUGGGGUUUAAAGAGAGGCUAUUAUCUCAGACGGGCUCACGCUAUGGCUUCUAUGGCUUCGCUCUCAGCAGCUUUCCUACCCUGCCACGGGGUGUGUGUGUGUGUGUGUGUGUGUGUGUGUGUAAGUGUGCAAUGCAAUGGGUAUCUUGGGGUGGGGAGGAUGUGUAGGGGGUGACUUUUCUCUGACGGUGCUAAGCUAGUCUUGCUGGGGUGUUUAUCAAAAAAUGAGCACCUUUUGUCAUUUUGCCAUGUUUUGCUUGAGUAAAAUACUUUCCUUUUUUUUUCCUUUGCGUUUUUCCCUGGAGCUGGGUGAAUGUAGCAUUGUUUUGUUUACCCUGGGGUUCUCCUCCCUCCUGGAUCCUCUCCUUUCCCUUGCAUCCUCCACUUCUUCAUUUAAUGAGGAUCAGUAGAGGGCAGCCGGGGAGCUCUUAGAGGUGCAGAGGUAUCGACAUUCCUGAACAAAGAGCCGCUUGGGUUAAGGUGUGGAGGGGGAUGUGGACAGCUGUGUUUCAUCUCAGGUUUUUAAAAACAUUUUGAAUAACAUCAUUUUUAAAAGCUCCCUGAAAAAAUAUUUUAAGAAUGUUUUGGGAAAUGCAACUGGAUAAGCAAAUCACAUUUAUGUUAUUGUUGUUAGUGCUUUGUUUACAUUGGCAGUGGUGUCAGAUUCUACCUAGAGUGCAUCUUGCCACUCUUGUCUCAAUGAGUCAAUGCUGAUCUGAACUGGUGAGAAGUGUGAAAGUGAGGGAGACAUAGGAACCGAAUCUGAGUCGGGGUGGGCUCCCUAUGACUGGCUCACUCCUGCUUGUUGCCAGAGGGUGUUGGGGACCAUACAGGUAAUAGCAAGAGGUGAAGAAGACACCUUUUAUUAGUUAUUGCUGGUACUGUUUAGUUCUACACACAUUAUAUUACACAAGACAAGUCUCAUCAUUCUUUCUUUUCUUUUUUUAGCCUUUUCCUACUAGUGAAAAAAUAAGCCUGGGCUAUUUUGAUAAUUUCACAUUUCUGUAAUACUUGGUUUUUAUGGGAGUUUUCACGCUGUCAGGUUGCCUUCCUGAGAACAGGGAAAGCCUUCAUAGAAUACUAACAACAAAUUGUUAUCUAUUCACAGCUAGUAUUGUCUCCCUGAAAUAGUCUAGGUAAGAAAACAAAUGGAAGAUUUUGACAGUCUUUGAAAGUAGAAUGCCUGCUAAAAAAAAAACAGCAGGGUGGGUUUUCUGAGGUGUGUUAAAUAUGUGUGCCCUGCAGUCUGCAGACUUAGUGUGCUGCAGAACAUCACACAUGAAGGUAUUUUUGGUUGCU
rnacentral:lncRNA from 1 species